GAUGAACGCUGACAGAAUGCUUAACACAUGCAAGUCUACUUGAUCCUUCGGGUGAUGGUGGCGGACGGGUGAGUAACGCGUAAAGAACUUGCCUUGCAGUCUGGGACAACGUCUGGAAACGGACGCUAAUACCGGAUAUUAUGAUUGAAUCGCAUGAUUUAAUUAUGAAAGCUAUAUGCGCUGCGAGAGAGCUUUGCGUCCCAUUAGUUAGUUGGUGAGGUAACGGCUCACCAAGACGAUGAUGGGUAGCCGGCCUGAGAGGGUGAACGGCCACAAGGGGACUGAGACACGGCCCUUACUCCUACGGGAGGCAGCAGUGGGGAAUAUUGGACAAUGGACCAAAAGUCUGAUCCAGCAAUUCUGUGUGCACGAUGAAGUUUUUCGGAAUGUAAAGUGCUUUCAGUUGGGAAGAAGAAAGUGACGGUACCAACAGAAGAAGCGACGGCUAAAUACGUGCCAGCAGCCGCGGUAAUACGUAUGUCGCAAGCGUUAUCCGGAUUUAUUGGGCGUAAAGCGCGUCUAGGCGGUUUGGUAAGUCUGAUGUGAAAAUGCGGGGCUCAACUCCGUAUUGCGUUGGAAACUGCCAAACUAGAGUACUGGAGAGGUAGGCGGAACUACAAGUGUAGAGGUGAAAUUCGUAGAUAUUUGUAGGAAUGCCGAUGGGGAAGCCAGCCUACUAGACAGAUACUGACGCUAAAGCGCGAAAGCGUGGGUAGCAAACAGG
rnacentral:rRNA from 1 species